AGGAAUGGUUCAAUUGACAAGGGAAAAAAAAGAGGCCAUUUCCUUUGAAGGAUGUUCUCUCGUUCCUUCUUACUACUAACCUAGAAUACCAAACCAGUACCCACUUCAAUUAAUUGAUUGACACGGGAACAGAACACAGACAUACCAAAUUCUUAACAAUCUUUGUUAAUUGUUCUUCCUCUUUAGCCUUUAGGUUUCCAUUCUUCAAUCGACCAACCCAUAUUCUACUGCUCUUCUUCAGAAUCAGACUUACAGGGUUUGUUAGUAAAUAAAAAAACAAAACAAUGUCUGGAAGAAAUCGUCAUCAUCCAGUUCAUGAAUCACCUCAAUACGGUAGAGAACGGAUGCCUCAUCCUGCCCUUCUUGAAGAGAUGAGAGAUGCUCAAUUCGGCCGAGGUCCUCCUCCUCCUAGAUCUCUUAUUCCUCAUCCUGCUGUUAUUGAAGAGAGAUUAGCUGUUCAACAUCAAGAAAUUCAAGGGCUAUUAGUUGAUAAUCAAAGAUUAGCUGCUACUCAUGUUGCCCUUAAACAAGAAUUAGCUGCUGCUCAGUAUGAAUUACAACGAAUGUCUCAUGUUGCUGGUUCCAUGCACUCCGAAAAGGAUAUUCAGUUGAGAGAAUUAUAUGAUAAAUCAAUUAGAAUGGAAGCAGAUCUUCAUGCUUUCGAGGCUAUGAGAGGAGAGCUUCUUCAAGUUCAUUCUGAUGUACAGAAACUCUCCGCGUCCAAACAAGAAUUAACUGGACAGGUGCAAGCACUUACUCAAGAUUUGAAUAGAGCUAAUUCAGAAAAGCAACAAAUACCUGCACUCAAGGCAGAGAUUGAGAAUAUGAAACAAGAAUUGCAACGUGCAAGGUCCGCUAAUGAACUUGACAAGAAAGAACAUGCACAAAAUUUUGAGCAUGGUCAGGCAAUGGAAAAGAAUUUGAUCACCAUGGCUCGCGAGGUAGAAAAGCUAAGAGCGGAGAUGGCUAAUGCUGAAAAGAGGGCACGAGCUUCUGCUGCUGUUGGUAAUGCAGGUUUGCAAAACUCAGGUGCAGAAGUACUCCAGCAGUAUCCUCAUUCCAGUGCAGGUUAUAAUGCAACUUAUGGCAAUCAAGACACUGGAUAUGCUGCAAAUCCUUAUCCUGCUACCUAUGGCAUGAACCCUGUACAAGGUGGAGCGGAUGGAAAUGUGCAUUAUGGACCUGGACCAGGUGCUUGGGGUGCAUAUGACAUGCAGCAGCGAGCCCAUGGACGCAGAUAGACUAUGACGCUGUCAUGCUAAGUUUUAGGAAAUGCGCUGAUUCAGCAAAACAGAUUUGGUAAUAUUCCGAUAUAUCCCAUCCAGCACCAUGAGUUUGGUGGAGUAUGUUUCCAGGUGUGGUCCGUGUGGACAUCUGAAAGGCAUUCUGGCAUAAGUGCAAAAAAAUUGUUGUCUGGAAUUUAUGAGAAUGUGAAGUCCAUCUUUGGUAUUCUCGUAGCAACGUGGAGGUCACUAGUUCAGUCCAAAAUAAACAUAGCAACGGUGGACAAGGGCUCAAAAGAGUAAGAAAGAAACGUAAUGGGGUCGUUUAGGGGCAUGAUCACUUUGUUCAUCUCCUGCAGCUGAAGACUUUCAGGUAAGUAGAUUGGACAGAGGUUUGUCCUUUCUUCAUGACUGCAAACUCGAUGACUCAAAUUAAUGUUCCGUUCGUGGAAAAAAAAUUACCCACAAGAACUUUUUGAGCUCUUCUUAUUUCUUACCCGUCACUAGUCU